AUCAGUCUGGAUCUGUUUAACAUGUCUGACAGGCGAGCGUCCAGAGGAUCCACGUGGAGAUCACUGCAAAGGGAUACCGCUUCACUUUGGCUCGGACAAUCAAGCUUUAGGAGUCAGCAGGCUGCCAAAGCCCAGGGCUUGAGAGGAUCAACAACCAGCAAUAACUGGAAAUAAUGUAACUGCACAGACAUCUACAGGAAAAUGGACCUUUAGCUCUCUUCAUCUAUGACCUCAGUGAAUACCUUUCUGAUGAGUUUAUGGUCUCGUUUGCUAGUUUCAAGUCCUACUGAGCACAACAUAGGGCUGAUUUCAUAAAUUGUGGUCAAAA